rnacentral:rRNA from 1 species
GACGAACGCUGGCGGCGUGCCUAAUACAUGCAAGUUGAGCGCUGAAGGUUGGUACUUGUCCCAACUGGAUGAGCAGCGAACGGGUGAGUAACGCGUGGGGAAUCUGCCUUUGAGCGGGGGACAACAUUUGGAAACGAAUGCUAAUACCGCAUAAAAACUUUAAACACAAGUUUUAAGUUUGAAAGAUGCAAUUGCAUCACUCAAAGAUGAUCCCGCGUUGUAUUAGCUAGUUGGUGAGGUAAAGGCUCACCAAGGCGAUGAUGCAUAGCCGACCUGAGAGGGUGAUCGGCCACAUUGGGACUGAGACACGGCCCAAACUCCUACGGGAGGCAGCAGUAGGGAAUCUUCGGCAGUGGACGAAAGUCUGACCGAGCAACGCCGCGUGAGUGAAGAAGGUUUUCGGAUCGUAAAACUCUGUUGGUAGAGAAGAACGUUGGUGAGAGUGGAAAGCUCAUCAAGUGACGGUAACUACCCAGAAAGGGACGGCUAACUACGUG